rnacentral:rRNA from 1 species
UGGGGAAUAUUGGACAAUGGGCGCAAGCCUGAUCCAGCAAUGCCGCGUGUGUGAAGAAGGCCUUCGGGUUGUAAAGCACUUUUGUAGAAGAAGAAACGGUUUGCGUUAACACCGUAAACAAUUGACUGUACUCUACGAAUAAGCACCGGCUAACUCUGUGCCAGCAGCCGCGGUAAGACAGAGGGUGCAAGCGUUAAUCGGAAUUACUGGGCGUAAAGCGCUCGUAGGUGGUUGCUUAAGUCGGAUGUGAAAGCCCUGGGCUUAACCUGGGAAUGCCAUUCGAUACUGAGCGACUAGAGUGGGGUAGAGGAAAGUAGAAUUUCAGGUGUAGCGGUGAAAUGCGUAGAUAUCUGAAGGAAUACCAGUGGCGAAGGCGGCUUUCUGGACCCAAACUGACACU